UGAUGAUAAAUAAAAAAGAUACAUAGAAAGUUUCAUUAGAGACGAUCUGCACGUGCUAGAGCAUCUACCAAAAACCACCAACGAAGAAGCACUAUUAGUCUCCUUCGAAGUCAUCAACAUCUACACUAACAUUCCACACGACUACGGAAUAGAGGCAAUAAUAUUCUGGUUAGAAAAAUACUCUGAAGUUCUCCCGGACCGCAUAAACCAGACUUUUGUCAUUGAAUCCCUGAAGUUAAUCCUACAAAACAAUUACUUCCUAUUCGAUGCAACAUACUAUCCA